AUUGAACGCUGGCGGCAGGCCUAAUACAUGCAAGUCGAACGAGUGGCGGAAGGGUGAGUAAUGUCUGGGCAUCUGCCUGACGGAGGGGGCUAACUCCUGGAAACGGUAGCUAAUACCGCAUCCCAUCGGUUGUGCCUCGUUGGGAUUAGCUAGCAGGUGGGGUAACUGCUCACCUAGGCGACGAUCCCUAGCCGGUCUGAGAGGAUGACCCGCCACCCUGGAACUGAGACACGGUCCAGACUCCUGCGGGAGGCAGCAGUGGGGAAUAUUGCACAAGGGGCGCAAGCCUGAUGCAGCCAUGCCGCGUGUAUGAAGAAGGCCUUCGGGUUUUAAAAUGCUUUCAGCGUGGAGGCGUUACCCGCAGAAGAAGCACCGGCUAACUCCGGGCCAGCAGCCGCGGUAAUAC
rnacentral:rRNA from 1 species